GGGCCCGCACAAGCGGUGGAGCAUGUGGUUUAAUUCGAUGAUACGCGAGGAACCUUACCAGGGCUUAAAUGUUAGGUGACAGAUCUAGAAAUAGAUUUUUCUUCGGACACUUAACAAGGUGCUGCAUGGUUGUCGUCAGCUCGUGCCGUGAGGUGUCAGGUUAAGUCCUAUAACGAGCGCAACCCCUGUUGUUAGUUGCCAGCGAGUAAUGUCGGGAACUCUAGCAAGACUGCCAGUGCAAACUGUGAGGAAGGUGGGGAUGACGUCAAAUCAUCACGGCCCUUACGUCCUGGGCUACACACGUGCUACAAUGGUAGGUACAGAGAGCAGCCAAUGCGCGAGCAUGAGCAAAUCUAUAAAAGCUUGUCUCAGUUCGGAUAGGAGUCUGCAACUCGACUCCUUG
rnacentral:rRNA from 1 species